AGAAAAAGAAAAAAACAUUAAAUGCAUUGAUUAUCAAAUGAAUGAGAGAAGAGAAUGAAUGAGAGGCAAGUUAUUUUGAGGAAAGAGAAAGAUAAAUAAGUUUGGUUUUUUCAUGUUUAAGAUUAAUAUUAAUCGCUGCAAAAAAUCCCACUAACAAAGUCUUGAGAAUCGUAUUUAGUAAAAAAAAAAAAAGUUUUGAGAAUCGUAUAAUCAUUCUAUAACUAUGUUGGGCCUAUUCCAUUCUAACUAAGUCGGUCCUUCAACUAAUGGGCCUAUUCCUUUUUCUUCUUCACGCCGUCGUGAAACUCGCCCUCCACAGCCAUGCCGUCGUGAAAAUAUCCCAAAAAUACAAACCCCUACCGCUCCGAUUCGUAUCGCGCUUCUGACUCGUUAUCUCCGAAACUCAAUCCUCAAAUUAUCAAUUUCAGAUUCCGGUGUGUUUCUUCUGCAUUCUCAGUCGGUAGUUCCACCUGCAAACCUCGUGUCAUUCAGGUUUGCCUUUUGUUUUGUUUUCCUUUGAUUUUUAAUUGGUGAUUUUGUUUGCAUAUG
rnacentral:lncRNA from 1 species